GGGGGCUUAGUGGUGGGGUGACUGCGUACCUUUUGUAUAAUGGGUCAGCGACUUAUAUUCUGUAGCAAGGUUAACCGAAUAGGGGAGCCGGAGGGAAACCGAGUCUUAAUUGGGCGUUAAGUUGCAGGGUAUAGACCCGAAACCCGGUGAUCUAGCCAUGGGCAGGUUGAAGGUUGGGUAACACUAACUGGAGGACCGAACCGACUAAUGUUGAAAAAUUAGCGGAUGACCUGUGGCUGGGGGUGAAAGGCCAAUCAAACCGGGAGAUAGCUGGUUCUCCCCGAAAGCUAUUUAGGUAGCGCCUCGUGAAUUCAUCUCCGGGGGUAGAGCACUGUUUCGGCUAGGGGGCCAUCCCGGCUUACCAACCCGAUGCAAACUGCGAAUACCGGAGAAUGUUAUCACGGGAGACACACGGCGGGUGCUAACGUCCGUCGUGAAGAGGGAAACAACCCAGACCGCCAGCUAAGGUCCCAAAGUCAUGGUUAAGUGGGAAACGAUGUGGGAAGGCCCAGACAGCCAGGAUGUUGGCUUAGAAGCAGCCAUCAUUUAAAGAAAGCGUAAUAGCUCACUGGUCGAGUCGGCCUGCGCGGAAGAUGUAACGGGGCUAAACCAUGCACCGAAGCUGCGGCAGCGAACGUAUCACCCAAGACAACUUUACGGAGUUGACGAUUGACGGAGCGAAGCGACGUCAAAGCGUUCAUUAAAGUCGAGUUGGCUUAGGGAUACGUUCGUUGGGUAGGGGAGCGUUCUGUAAGCCUGUGAAGGUGUGUCGUGAGGCAUGCUGGAGGUAUCAGAAGUGCGAAUGCUGACAUAAGUAACGAUAAAGCGGGUGAAAAGCCCGCUCGCCGGAAGACCAAGGGUUCCUGUCCAACGUUAAUCGGGGCAGGGUGAGUCGACCCCUAAGGCGAGGCCGAAAGGCGUAGUCGAUGGGAAACGGGUUAAUAUUCCCGUACUUGGUGUUACUGCGAAGGGGGGACGGAGAAGGCUAUGUUGGCCGGGCGACGGUUGUCCCGGUUUAAGCGUGUAGGUGUGUGUUCCAGGUAAAUCCGGUUCACUUUAACACUGAGGCGUGACGACGAGGCACUACGGUGCUGAAGCAACAAAUGCCCUGCUUCCAGGAAAAGCCUCUAAGCAUCAGGUAACAUCAAAUCGUACCCCAAACCGACACAGGUGGUCAGGUAGAGAAUACCAAGGCGCUUGAGAGAACUCGGGUGAAGGAACUAGGCAAAAUGGUGCCGUAACUUCGGGAGAAGGCACGCUGACACGUAGGUGAAGUGAUUUACUCA
rnacentral:rRNA from 1 species